GGAAACAAACCAGUCUCUGAACAUACCUGAGGAAAACAGCUUUAUGCCUAAGAGCAAAGCUGUCUCAACAACCAGCUGGUAAAAAGGCCACAGGGAAGCCAAAUUAGACAAAGCACUGUGCCCAAUGGGCAGAGGAGGACUUCCUCAAGCUGGGGCCAGGCCUGGGGAGACUUGGAAGGAGGCCUGUGAAGGGCAGGCCUGAAGCCCAGCAGGAAGUCUCUGGGGACACAGAGGCCAGCGCCAUCCCAUGAUGGAACACAACCUUCUGUGCCAAGCACUCUGACAACCUUGCCGUAAGGGAUACACCCAUGGGCACUUUUCAUUGCAAGGAGGCAGCAGAUACUGAAUUAAUUUAGAAUACUGAAUAAAAGAAAACAGAAGCUGAACAAUCCACAAAUCA